CCUACGGGUGGCAGCAGUGAGGAAUAUUGGUCAAUGGGAGAGAUCCUGAACCAGCCAAGCCGCGUGAGGGAAGACGGCCCUAUGGGUUGUAAACCUCUUUUGUCGGAGAACAAAACCCGGGACGUGUCCCGUACUGCGUGUAUCCGACGAAAAAGCAUCGGCUAACUCCGUGCCAGCAGCCGCGGUAAUACGGAGGAUGCGAGCGUUAUCCGGAUUUAUUGGGUUGAAAGGGUGCGUAGGCGGUCCGUUAAGUCAGCGGUAAAAUUGCGGGGCUCAACCCCGGCGAGCCGUUGAAACUGGCAGACUUGAGUUGGCGAGAAGUACGCGGAAUGCGCGGUGUAGCGGUGAAAUGCAUAGAUAUCGCGCAGAACUCCGAUUGCGAAGGCAGCGUACCGGCGCCAGACUGACGCUGAGGCACGAAAGCGUGGGGAGCGAACAGGAUUAGAUACCCGAGUAGUC
rnacentral:rRNA from 1 species